ACACGUCACGAAAAACUUUAUGUGCAAG
rnacentral:sRNA from 1 species